GGGGGCAGCUGAUGAGCAUGCCGCGUGAGUGAUGAAGGCCUUCGGGUUGUAAAGCUCUUUUGUCAGGGAAGAAAAUGACGGGGCCUGGAGAAUAAGCCCCGGACCGUUUCUUGCCAGCAGGCGCGGUAAUACG
rnacentral:rRNA from 1 species